CCCGCACAAGCGGUGGAGCAUGUGGUUAAUUCGAUGCAACGCGAAGAACCUUACCUAGGCUUGACACCCUGGAAUUUUGUGGAAACACAAAAGUGCCUUUCGGGGAACCAGGAGACAGGUGCUGCAUGGCUGUCGUCAGCUCGUGUCGUGAGAUGUUGGGUUAGGUCCCGCAACGAGCGCAACCCCUAUUGUUAGUUGCCAUCAUUCAGUUGGGCACUCUAGCGAGACUGCCGGUAAUAAACCGGAGGAAGGUGGGGAUGACGUCAAAUCAUCAUGCCCCUUAUGACCUGGGCUACACACGUGCUACAAUGGUUGGUACAACGAGUUGCGAGUCGGUGACGGCGAGCUAAUCUCUUAAAGCCAAUCUCAGUUCGGAUUGUAGGCUGCAACUCGCCUACAUGAAGUCGGAAUCGCUAGUAAUCGCGGAUCAGCACGCCGCGGUGAAUACGUUCCCGGGCCUU
rnacentral:rRNA from 1 species